GACGAACGCUGGCGGCGUGCUUAACACAUGCAAGUCGAACGGAAAGGCCCUGCUUUUGUGGGGUGCUCGAGUGGCGAACGGGUGAGUAACACGUGAGUAACCUGCCCUUGACUUUGGGAUAACUUCAGGAAACUGGGGCUAAUACCGGAUAGGAGCUCCUGCUGCAUGGUGGGGGUUGGAAAGUUUCGGCGGUUGGGGAUGGACUCGCGGCUUAUCAGCUUGUUGGUGGGGUAGUGGCUUACCAAGGCUUUGACGGGUAGCCGGCCUGAGAGGGUGACCGGCCACAUUGGGACUGAGCUACGGCCCAGCCUCCUACGGGAGGCAGAAGUGGGGAAUAUUGCACAAUGGGCGGAAGCCUGAUGCAGCCACGCCGCGUGCGGGAUGACGGCAUUCGGGUUGUAAACCGCUUUCGCCUGUGACGAAGCGUGAGUGACGGUAAUGGGUAAAGAAGCACCGGCUAACUACGUG
rnacentral:rRNA from 1 species